UAAUAUAAAUAGCUUGAUUUCAACUAAGAGUAUUAUUUUAGAUCUUUCAACUCAUCAUGAGGUUCUUAUUAGUGUUAAUUGCUCUCUUAUUUGUAGCUGGUAUUAACUGUGCUACUCUCUUAUCGGAUAAUACAGGUCUCCAUCAACGUACGAUCCCAAGUAAUGAAUCUGAAGAAGUCAUUCAUAGGGCAAAAAGAAGCAACUUCUUCUGCAAAACGCAUAAAGAAUGCAACGACUUUUGUAGGAAUGUUGUCUUCCAUAGAAAAGGAAGAUGCCAUCUUAUUUGCUUCUGUAGUUAAUGUAGCAUCUAAUACAAAUAAAUGUAAAUAAAAGAGUAUGUCUGU